rnacentral:sRNA from 10 species
CAAAUAGAGCGCUAGGGUUCCGGCCGCUGUAGCGGUGACUGGUCCGAGAGCACUCGACCUUUCAGACAAGGUUACACGGCGGGAUAAAAGCCCGGGAGAC